UAAAACGUUAAUGGGUGUGCAGGGCGCGCCGUUUCGCCGGCUGCUGGCCAGAGGUGCUAGGGAGGCGCUGACGGAAGCCCAGGAGAGGAUGCACCUUCCCCUGCCUUGGAAAGCAAUUCUACUUUUAGGAGUCUUUCCUGCAGAAAUACUCACCGAGAAUAGACACAAACAUACUCACGACCACAUACAAGGAUAUUCACUGCACCAUUGUUUGUAAUAAACAAUUCACUUGAAAACGUGAUAAACGCCCAUCAAUAAAGGAAUGGGUAAAGAAAUCACAACCUGUCCAUAAACUGAGCGACGGCUACAUGUAUCACCUUGGAACAAUGUCUGUAUACAAGAAGAUUCUGGCAGGAAAAAGAACUCACCCCAGACGGUCAAGUGAAGAGAUUUUAAGGAAGCGUUUAAUUACAGAGGUUGGGCAGCGUUAGGCCAACAAAGAAGAGAUGGAGAAACGCCUGCAGAUUAGCAAUAGCGGGAAGUCCUCACCGUCCCUCGGGUUUAAGGUGCAAAGGAGAGGACGUAACAGGAGCCCAGUGUCAUUUGGAGCCACGGAGGCAGGGCCACAAGUGGCACUCGGCCAAAGAGGGGUACAUCAGCUGCAUGAGACAGAGCUGAAGCAGGUCUGUACUGUGAUUACUGACACCCUGAAGAUGAUGAUCCUGUAUCCCCGUAAGAGUCUUCACCCAAGAAAUAAAAGUUUAACUGUGUUCAUCUAAACCGAAAACACACAAGACAAUAUCUAGGGAAGUUGGGAACUGAAGAAGCAAGGUACAGUCCCAUCUUGCCCCCGUCCCGCUGCACUCUGGCUCACAUUCCAUUUGGAGUGAUUAGAUCUAUGGGGAGGGAGGAAGUUAUGUUCCUAACUCUCACCUGACAAGUGCAGGGAGAUACCGAAGGCACCUUGACUAAGGUUAUACUUCUCCUUUGAGGAGCUACAGUCAGAGUAUUUGGACACCAUCCAAAUUUGGAAAAAUCAAGUUCAAAAGGACUGUGGUUGUGAGUUCUAGCAAAUGGUGUUGUGUUGAUAAAUACAAAGCAUAGUUCCACAGGUGGAGAAAUUCCUUAUGAUCCAAAAAGACAUGGCUGUUAAGACUUUCUAGAUGAACCGGCGAGUUGAGACAAUAAUUAUUUAAGUGAUAAACCAAUUUGGCCUCCCUAUUCGACGGUGGGAAUAUUAGAAGGCUAUUCCAGGCUUCCAGGCUGAGCUCCAACUACCUAUCUGAACGCCCCAGAAAGUAUCCACAGAUGCUCCAUGUGUAUUUCCCUCCUGAAUUAUACAGAUGAUUGCCCUUC